UCCUACGGGAGGCUGCAGUCGAGGAUCUUCGGCAAUGGGCGCAAGCCUGACGGAGCAACGCCGCGUGAGGGAUGAAGGCCUCUGGGCUGUAAACCUCUUUUAUCAAGGAAGAAGAUCUGACGGUACUUGAUGAAUAAGCCACGGCUAAUUCCGUGCCAGCAGCCGCGGUAAUACGGGAGUGGCAAGCGUUAUCCGGAAUUAUUGGGCGUAAAGCGUCCGCAGGCGGUCUUUUAAGUCUGUCGUCAAAGCGUGGAGCUUAACUCCAUUUCUGCGAUGGAAACUGGGAGACUAGAGUGUGGUAGGGGCAGAGGGAAUUCCCGGUGUAGCGGUGAAAUGCGUAGAUAUCGGGAAGAACACCAGUGGCGAAGGCGCUCUGCUGGGCCAUAACUGACGCUCAUGGACGAAAGCCAGGGGAGCGAAAGGGAUUAGAUACCCGUGUAGUC
rnacentral:rRNA from 1 species